rnacentral:lncRNA from 1 species
UUACAUGGAAUGUGGUUGUGGACCAAGUCAAAGUAGGAAUUAAUUUGGAUUUCAAAUUCUAUGAGAUAAAAUUUUAGGAAACCAAAAGUCUUUCCUUAUGGCACUAAUUUUAUCCAGAUUUUUUCUAAAAUUUUUGUGACUUUUAUGGAACAUAUUGUGUGCCCUUUGCUAGUGGUCCAUGGCAGAAAAAGAAAGAGGAGG